GACGAACGCUGGCGGCGUGCUUAACACAUGCAAGUCGAACGAAGCGGCCCUGCUAGUUUGUUGUGCUCGAGUGGCGAACAGGUGUGUAACACGGGAGUAUCCUGCACUUGACUGUGAGAUGACUUCAAGUAGCUGGGGCUAAUAGCGGAUAGGAGCUACUGCCGCAUAGGGGGGGAUGGAAAGUUUCGGCGGUUGGGGAUAGACUCGCGGCUUAUCAGCUUGCUGGGGUGGUAGUGGCAGACCCAGGCUUGGCCGGGUAGCCGGCCUGAGAGGGUGACCGGACACAUUGGGACUGAGCUACGGCACAGACCCCUACGGGAGGCAGCAGAGGAGAAUAUUGCACAGUGGGCGGAAGCCUGAUGCAGCAACGCCGCGUGCGGGAAGACGGCAUUCGGGUUGUAAACCGCAUCCGUCUGUGAAGAGGCGUGAGUGACGGUAAUGGGUAAAGAAGCACCGGCUAACUACGUG
rnacentral:rRNA from 1 species